GGGGAGAUGGCUCAGUGGUAAGAGCACUGACUGCUCUUCCAGAGGUCCUGGGUUCAAAUCCCGGCAACCACA
rnacentral:tRNA from 1 species